rnacentral:lncRNA from 1 species
CUACAAUGCUUCCUUCCAGUAACAAUACUCGUUCAUCAACUAAUAACCACAAUGUGAAAUCUUGCACUCUUAAAAGACCUCUCAAAAUACAUAAAUUCCAUCCAACACCAAGAAUAACAGACUUCAUUCCAACUAUUCUGAAUUCACACAAUUUUUAUAAUCACAAACUUCCUCUAUCAAAACACACAAACAACUCUCAAUAAACAACAAUCAUAAUCUUCCAUCUAUAAUCAAUCUUCCAAUAACUUCUUAUAUAAUUUAAUCACUUGGUAUCCCAAUUACAUAAUCAAUAACUCAUAAAUCAAUCUCUGAUUUAUUCCACAGACUCACUUCACAAUAUUCAAAAAGUAUCCAUUACUCUUUAACAACAAAGAAACAAAGAGGUAGUACUAAGUUUAUCCCGACUCAUCACUAUCACAGUCUGGUCCUCAGGCUAACUUCUAUAAUUCUUAUAUACUUACUCCAUAUUCCUAGAUUCUAACCAUAAUCCUAUAAUUAACUAUUUUUAAUAACUAAGUUAACCAUCCGUCCUCCGAAACUGACUAUUCUAUGGACUAUUAGUAUAUUUUAUCAAUAG